rnacentral:rRNA from 1 species
CACCUACGGGCGCAGCAGUGGGGAAUAUCGGGCAAUGGGCGCAAGCCUGACCCAGCAACGCCGCGUGAAGGAAGAAGGCUUUCGGGUUGUAAACUUCUUUUCUUAGGGACGAAGAAUGACGGUACCUCGUAAGAAAGCCCCGGCUAACUACGUGCCAGCAGCCGCGGUAAUACGUAGGGGGCGAGCGUUGUCCGGAAUGACUGGGCGUAAAGGGAGUGUAGGCGGCAAUAUAAGUUAGAUGUGAAAUCCCGCGGCUCAACCGCGGAACUGCAUCUAAAACUAUAUAGCUGGAGUGCAGGAGAGGG